rnacentral:rRNA from 1 species
AGAUUAAGUUAUUAAGGGCGCACGGUGGAUGCCUUGGCACUAGAAGCCGAUGAAGGACGUUACUAACGACGAUAUGCUUUGGGUAGCUGUAAGUAAGCGUUGAUCCAGAGAUUUCCGAAUGGGGGAACCCAGCACGAGUUAUGUCGUGUUAUCGACAAGUGAAUUCAUAGCUUGUCAGAAGGCAGACCCGGAGAACUGAAACAUCUUAGUACCCGGAGGAAGAGAAAGAAAAUUCGAUUCCCUGAGUAGCGGCGAGCGA